rnacentral:rRNA from 1 species
UACAUGGGGUGCAAACGUUUGCUCGGAAUUACUGGGCGUAAAGCGCACGUAGGCGGCUUUGCAAGUCAGAGGUGAAAGCCCGGGGCUCAACCCCGGAAUUGCCUUUGAGACUGCAUCGCUAGAAUUGUGGAGAGGUAAGUGGAAUUCCGAGUGUAGAGGUGAAAUUCGUAGAUAUUCGGAAGAACACCAGUGGCGAAGGCGACUUACUGGACACAUAUUGACGCUGAGGUGCGAAAGCGUGGGGGAGCAAACAGG